rnacentral:misc_RNA from 1 species
GAUGAAGAACGUAGCGAAAUGCGAUACUUGGUGUGAAUUGCAGAAUCCCGUGAACCAUCGAGUCUUUGAACGCAAGUUGCGCCCGAAGCCACUAGGCCGAGGGCACGCCUGCCUGGGCGUCACACGCCGUUGCCCCCCCAUCUACUCCCUCGGGAUUGCGGGGGGGCGGAUGAUGGCCUCCCGUGCGCCUAGCCGCGCGGUUGGCAUAAAUACCAAGUCCUCGGCGACGCACGCCACGACAAUCGGUGGUUGCGAAACCUCGGUUGCCCGUCGUGUGCGUUCGUCGCGCAUCGAGGGCUCGAAAAAAUGCUCGGCUCCGGCUGGGCUUUCAACGCGACCCCAGGUCAGGCGGGGUUACCCGCUGAAUUUAAGCAUAUCAAUAAGCGGAGGA